AACGAACGCUGGCGGCAGGCUUAACACAUGCAAGUCGAACGCCCCGCAAGGGGAGUGGCAGACGGGUGAGUAACGCGUGGGAAUCUACCCAUCCCUACGGAACAACUCCGGGAAACUGGAGCUAAUACCGUAUACGCCCUACGGGGGAAAGAUUUAUCGGGGAUGGAUGAGCCCGCGUUGGAUUAGCUAGUUGGUGGGGUAAAGGCCUACCAAGGCGACGAUCCAUAGCUGGUCUGAGAGGAUGAUCAGCCACAUUGGGACUGAGACACGGCCCAAACUCCUACGGGAGGCAGCAGUGGGGAAUAUUGGACGAUGGGCGCAAGCCUGAUCCAGCCAUGCCGCGUGAGUGAUGAAGGUCUUAGGAUAGUAAAGCUCUUUCACCGAUGAAGACAAUGACGGUAGUCGGAGAAGAAGCCCCGGCUAACUUCGUGCCAGCCGCCGCCGUAA
rnacentral:rRNA from 1 species